rnacentral:rRNA from 1 species
UACGGAGGGUGCGAGCGUUGUCCGGAAUCACUGGGCGUAAAGGGCGCGUAGGCGGCCUGAUAAGUAGGGGGUGAAAUCCUGCGGCUUAACCGCAGGGCUGCCUUCUAAACUGUCAGGCUAGAGCACAGUAGAGGCAGGUGGAAUUCCCGGUGUAGCGGUGGAAUGCGUAGAGAUCGGGAGGAACAUCUGUGGCGAAGGCGGCCAUCUGGACCAGCACUGACACUGAGGCACGAAAGCGUGGGGAGCAAACGGG